CAUUCCUCUUCUUUUUAUCCUUAUAUUGUUUUGAGAGCUUGUACUGUGGUAUUUUUGCAGGUGAGAUUUCUUUCUAAAGCAGCCCCAGAGCCAUUCGCUCACUUGACUGGCAAGUUCAAUGAAUCAUUGUUGGAGAGGCAGAGAGGUGACAUGCGACUACAAGUCUACAACGACAAGAAUCCGAUCAACGAUUUCUCGAAAUGAUCAAUAGAUUAUCAGAUAUUGUGCUGUGUUUUACCCUCAUAUGUUAUAAUUUUUGGUUGAUUGUAAUAUUGACCUGAACAGUAUAUAAUAUUGAUCUGAACAGUAUAUAAUCUGCAUAUUUAUGUUUAGGAAGAACAGUGAUGAUGGAUCUUGUACUAAAAACAGACUGCUCUGCAUCUUCUCACCACAAACACUAUCAGUGGUUGGUAAAUAGUGGAUGAUGGAGUUUCUUCCGGCUCAAAAGUGAGUGCCUAGACAGUUCAUUGAUCUUGCAGUAGGAGGGGGGUCUAAUGAUGAAACAACAGAUCAGGACUCAGGAGCAUGCAUUUUCUUUGUCAGAAGGCCAUGAUCCGGCUCACUCUCGGAUUAGUAAAUGGAAACAGGAUGACUUGUAUAGAGAAACUGAUAGUCUAGAUCAUGGGUCUCAACACUGGGGAGGUUCUAACAAGGUCUCCAUAGAUUGAAUAAUUCCAAAGAAGUUAACCAGGCCGCUGAGGCUACCAUUAGAAAAGCCCGAGUCUCGGUCCAGGCUAACAGAAGGCAUAUAUUGAAGCUCUUCAUGGCUGGCUGGCUAAGUUUGUGGUGCCUCAAGUUGAAUUUUACUCAAAGAGAAGAGGUUCUGCCCUGCCAAAUGGAACUAAUGGGCCCCAGUUGCUUCUAAUUUGCCAAGAUUGGUUAAUUCUUUUAUUAAAUUACCUGAUAAAAUGGUGGGUUAUGCCAUUAAAAGCUUUGCAAAGGAUGUCAAGGCAUUGUGCAAUCAGCAAGAAGAGGAAACUUGAUACUCCCUCCGUCCCAUUUUAACUGCUUUUGACUUUUUUACACGUAUUUUAAGAUGUUAAAAAAAUCACAUCUAAACAUAAUAAUUCUUUAUAAAAUUUAUAUCAAAUAAAAGUUUAGAACCUAAACUUUUAUUUGAUAUAAGAAUUGAAUUAUUUUAUUGAGUGUAGAUAUUAUUUUUUUAUAUCUCAAUAUACGUGCUAGAGAGUCAAACAUCAGUUAAAAUGGGACAGAGGGAGUAGUUUAUCGAAGGUGCUUGACAAAGAGAUUAUAACACUUCAGAAAACAGAGAAGAAGAUAUUGAGACCCAACCAUUUUGAACACAAUCCAGAGUUAGAUACUGAUUCUCAUGUCUUACAUUCCUCGGAACCAAUUUUCUCAAACAAUUUAAAUUACCAAGAUGAUCAACUAUUUGGAAAAUUUCUUUUCAAUUCACCCGGGGUUUGAUAUUCUACUGUAAUUUUCUUGUAACAAGUUCUGUAUAUUGUUGGUAGUCAUUCUUUUUUAUUUGCAUUUAGAUCUGAAUUCAACACCAAAAGUCUAUAUCCAAACGUAAUACUAAAUAAAAUUUUCCGUGGUG